rnacentral:rRNA from 1 species
UACAGAGGGUGCGAGCGUUAAUCGGAAUUACUGGGCGUAAAGCGCACGUAGUCGGCUUUGCAAGUCGGUUGUGAAAUCCCCGGGCUCAACCUGGGAACUGCAUCCGAGACUGCAUUGCUAGAGUAUGGGAGAGGAAAGCGGAAUUUCUGGUGUAGCAGUGAAAUGCGUAGAUAUCAGAAGGAACAUCAGUGGCGAAAGGCGGCUUUCUGGACCAAUACUGACGAUCAGGUGCGAAAGCGUGGGGAGCAAACAGG